GAGAAAUAAGUCUCUGAUGUGUGCUGGCUAUCAGGUCAACAAGGCGGUCUGACAAUAACUUUGUUGUGAAUAUGUACUGAUAGUGGGACUGCCUGUCUCACCGCAGUAGCUAUUCAGUUCCUUCUACACACACACACACUCCCAUCCAUAUUGACCCACUUGGUUGUGUCAUAGGCGGAGCUACAGAGGAAGUUGGAUGAGAGGAGCAGGUUGCUGAGUGAGUGCAAGAAGGAACUUGGACAGAAGGACCGACUGCUGCAGCAGCACAAACACAAACUGGAGGAGAGCCAGCUGCAGAAGGCUGGCUUGCAGAGAGAGCUGGAGUGUAAAGACAACAUGUUGCAGGAGAUGAUGAGUCGUCAUGGUGACCAGGCCCCGCCCCACCUCACGGCCACACCCCUUCCCUCUGGGGCUGAGGAGCUGCAGCUGGUGCGGUCAGCGUUGAGGAGUCUGAGAGGAGUGUUCCGAGAGCAGGAUCCUCAACAUCACACUCUGGAUACACUGGAGCAGGGCAUCACAUCACUGACCGACAGACUGAUAC